rnacentral:tRNA from 1 species
UUCGGCUGUUAACCGAAAGGUUGGUGGUUCAAGUCCACCCGGGAGCG